AAUCCGGGCCGCGUAUAUUAACAGAGCCCCUACCCGAUUUCGGAUCAAUCGGUGAGUGCAUACAAAUACUCAGCCAUACGUAGUUUUUCAAUGACUAGGACACUAUAGAUUUAACAUUGACACUCGAGACACUAAAUUUCUUGGAGAAGUAUCGGGUUUGGACAAACGAGCAGUUUACGUUUUGUAAAACUCCUAAAAUCACCUCGGUUAUACGUUUCUGCUCGACUCGAAAUCGGAUAGGUCGGUCAUCCGGGCACUAAUAAUUAACACUUCAACGAGCGUGUGUCUAUGGUUUCUAAUUGAGAAUCUAA